AUGCCGGCGUGCCGCGGCUCCCCUCUGCUUCUCCAUUUCCUCGUCUCCUUCCUCCCCAUAAGGCCAAACCCCUGGGUCGCAGCGAGCUCGUUGGCGACCAUCCACGAACCACUCAUGUGCGGCGUGCUGUGGACCGCCUUCCAGGCGCCCGCGUACGUCCAUGAGCAGCACCGCCGCCGUCUUCCUCUUUUGCCGUCAGCGACCACGCCGCCCGUCUUCUUCUUUGUGUACGCUGUCGGCGACCACCCAGCUCCAGCAGAGCGCCGCAUCCGUCUUCCUGGCCUCUCGUCUGCAGGCCUGCGACCACCCAGCUUCAUCAGAUCAGACUCGGAGGUCAGAGCGUAG
rnacentral:rRNA from 1 species